CUGCAGCAGGGAAGCUCACCAGGUCUUUUACUUACAGGGGUGUGCAAUGGCUGCAACAGCACCCUCCUUGGGAAAGUGCAGCCUGGUGCUUGGGUUGUCAUAAGGGACCUUGGAUUGGAAA
rnacentral:snoRNA from 1 species